UACGGAGGGGGCUAGCGUUGUCCGGAAUCAUUGGGCGUAAAGAGCGUGUAGGCGGCCCGGUAAGUCCGCUGUGAAAGUCGGGGGCUCAACCCUCGAAUGCCGGUGGAUACUGUCGGGCUAGAGUGCGGAAGAGGCGAGUGGAAUUCCUGGUGUAGCGGUGAAAUGCGCAGAUAUCAGGAGGAACACCAAUUGCGAAGGCAGCUCGCUGGGACGUAACUGACGCUGAGACGCGAAAGCGUGGGGAGCAAACAGG
rnacentral:rRNA from 1 species